AUUGAACGCUGGCGGCGUGCUUAACACAUGCAAGUCGAGCGGUAACGCGGGGGCAACCCUGGCGACGAGCGGCGAACGGGUGCGUAAUACAUGGGAAUCUGCCCUGUAGUGGGGAAUAACCCGGCGAAAGCCGGGCUAAUGCCGCAUACGAUCUACGGAUGAAAGCGGGGGACCUUCGGGCCUCGCGCUAUUGGAUGAGCCCAUGUCGGAUUAGCUAGUUGGUGAGGUAACGGCUCACCAAGGCGACGAUCCGUAGCUGGUCUGAGAGGACGGCCAGCCACACUGGGACUGAGACACGGCCCAGACUCCUACGGGAGGCAGCAGUGGGGAAUUUUGGACAAUGGGCGCAAGCCUGAUCCAGCCAUGCCGCGUGCGGGAAGAAGGCCU
rnacentral:rRNA from 1 species